GACGAACGCUGGCGGCGUGCUUAACACAUGCAAGUUGAACGAAGUGGCGGAUGGGAGAGUAACACGUGAGGAACCUGCCUUGCACAGGGGAAUAACACUGGGAAACCAGUGCCAAUACCGCAUAGUGAAAGAUGGCCCCGCGCAUGAUUAGCCAGUAGGGGAGGUAACGGCUCACCCAGGUGAUGAUCAGUUGCCGGAUUGAAGGUUGAUCGGCCGCAUUGGGGCUGAGACGCGGCCCAUGCGCCUCCGGGAGGCAGCAGGGGGGUAUAUUGGGCACUGGCGCAAGCCUGACCCAGCCACGCCGCGUGAAGGAAGACGGUCUUCGGAUUGUAAACGUCUUUAGACAGGGACGCGGUACCUGUAGAGUAAGCCACGGCUAACUACGUGCCAGCAGCCGCGGUAAUAC
rnacentral:rRNA from 1 species